GCUGGGCACGGUGGCUCAUGCCUGUAAUCCCAGCACUUUGGGAGGCUGAGGUGGGUGGAUCACCUGAGGUCAGGAGUUCGAGACCAGCCUGGCCAACAUGGUGAAACCCCAUCUCUA
rnacentral:SRP_RNA from 2 species